GCCCUCGUCGUUCAACGGACAGGACACAGAUUUCCUAAAUCUGUAAUUGAGGUUCGAUUCCUCGCGAGGGCA
rnacentral:tRNA from 2 species